rnacentral:rRNA from 1 species
UACAGAGGUGGCAAGCGUUUGUUCGGAAUUACUGGGCGUAAAGGGCGCGUAGGCGGCCUACUAAGUCAGACGUGAAAUCCCCCGGCUUAACCUGGGAACUGCGUCUGAUACUGGAAGGCUUGAGGAUGGGAGAGGGAUGUAGAAUUCCAGGUGUAGCGGUGAAAUGCGUAGAUAUCGGGAGGAACACCAGUGGCGAAGGCGACUUCCUGGCCUGUUCUUGACGCUGAGGCGCGAAAGCUAGGGUAGCAAACGGG